rnacentral:rRNA from 1 species
UACGUAGGGUGCAAGCGUUGUCCGGAAUUAUUGGGCGUAAAGAGCUCGUAGGCGGUCUGUUGCGUCGGCUGUGAAAACCCGGGGCUCAGCUCCGGGCCUGCAGCCGAUACGGGCAGACUAGAGUUCGGCAGGGGAGACUGGAAUUCCUGGUGUAGCGGUGAAAUGCGUAGAUAUCGAGAGGAACACCUGCGGCGAAGGCGGGUUGCUGGGCUGACACUGACGCUGAGGCGCGAAAGCUAGGGGAGCGAACGGG